GGACCCGCACAAGUAGUGGAGCAUGUGGUUUAAUUCGAAGAUACGCGCAGAACCUUACCAGUCCUUGACAUGGGGAGCUUGGUUUCCGGAGACGGAUUCCUUCAGUUCGGCUGGCUCCCACACAGGUGCUGCAUGGCUGUCGUCAGCUCGUGUCGUGAGAUGUUGGGUUAAGUCCCGCAACGAGCGCAACCCUCAUCUUUAGUUGCCAUCAGUUAGGCUGGGCACUCUAGAGAAACUGCCUGCGAUGAGCAGGAGGAAGGCGGGGAUGACGUCAAGUCCUCAUGGCCCUUAUGGACUGGGCUACACACGUGCUACAAUGGCGGUGACAGUGGGAAGCGAUAGGGUGACCUGGAGCAAAUCCCCAAAAGCCGUCCCAGUUCGGAUUGUACUCUGCAACUCGAGUGCAUGAAGUCGGAAUC
rnacentral:rRNA from 1 species